GGAUGAGUACACACAAUCAUCGUUUCUUCUCGAGCGUUGUCUCUGCAAGCACCGUACCGAAUUGGAGGCAGUUCAGCGGAACCGGCGCUCUGAGAUCUCAGCCGACUCGACGCGUCGUCCUCCCUUCGCGGGUCGCUGAAUUAAGGUUGUCGUGUGUCGCGUGCCUCCCCUGCGGCCCUAUGCCUCUCUCCCCUCUUUUCUGAUCCUUUCCUUGCAUGCACGUACGCCUCCCCCCAUGUCUCUCUCAUAUUUAACACCGACCCCUCUCUCCUCCUGCGGUCCUGCCUUCCUUUCCAUAUCACUACUCCCCACCUCCCAUCCUCCUCCUCUCUCUGGUCUGUCUCUCUCUCUCGCUCGCUUCCUUCCCCGUCUCUCGCUCUCACCAUGGCCGGCAGCGCCGCCACCGCCACCGUCUGCUCCAUGUGCGGCGACGUCGGCUUCCCCGAGAAGCUCUUCCGGUGCGCGCGCUGCCGCCACCGCUUCCAGCACUCAUACUGCACCAACUACUACGGCGACGGCGCGCCGGCCUCGGCCGGCUCCGACACGUGCGACUGGUGCCUCAGCGACGUGGCCGGGAACAAGGCGAGGUGGUCGUCGUCCACUGCCGGGAAGCAGCAGCAGCACGGCGCGGGCAGCCAGGAGUCCUCGUCCACCACGAGCUCCGGCGGCGGGGGCAGCGGCCGGGGCGGCAAGCAGGCCAGCGGCAGCGACCACCAGCAGGCCGAGGCGUCCGGGCGGCGAGCCACGACGACCAGGGCGGCCGGGCGCAGGUACAAGCUGCUCAAGGACGUCUUGUGUUAGUUUACUAGCUGUAAGUAGCUAGGUCAUGGGCCUCACGACGGUCUUGUGGAAGAUCCUAGCUAGUAGAUCGCGACGGACCCAGUAUUAGCCCAGUAGUAUUAAGUACGACUAGCUAGUAGUUAUAUGACCUAGUAACCGAGUUUGUUGGCCUGAUGUGUGUGUGAAUAUGUGCUUUUGUAUAUGUAAGUUUGCUUGGAUUAGGAAGGCUGUUAGCCUGUUUCUUAUCUAUACUAUAUAUCCGUUGAACUUUGGCUUGGUUG